rnacentral:RNase_MRP_RNA from 1 species
GUGAGCGGGGCGAAGGACCACUCCGGCAGCACUUUCGAUAUCUGAGCUUUCAUCGUGAACAAUGCCGGGCGAAAGUCCCCGGGCGACAAGGUCGAGAGGACCAGCCUUAGCAGGCAGACCUCCAUACGACCCCUCGCGGGGGCCCCCGGGCCCCCGGGCUGAGAUGCGCAAGCGGAGCCUCGUCGAGGGGUCAUGGAGCAGCUCGCCAUAGCACAGUAAUGUGGGUCAGUGGGGACGCAACCCACCAACACAAUGGGGCUUACUCUUGCCAUGCUCA